UGUCUGAAUAUGGGGGGACCAUCCUCCAAGGCUAAAUACUCCUGACUGACCGAUAGUGAACCAGUACCGUGAGGGAAAGGCGAAAAGAACCCCGGCGAGGGGAGUGAAAAAGAACCUGAAACCGUGUACGUACAAGCAGUGGGAGCCUCUUAAUGGGGUGACUGCGUACCUUUUGUAUAAUGGGUCAGCGACUUAUAUUCUGUAGCAAGGUUAACCGAAUAGGGGAGCCGAAGGGAAACCGAGUCUUAACUGGGCGUUAAGUUGCAGGGUAUAGACCCGAAACCCGGUGAUCUAGCCAUGGGCAGGUUGAAGGUUGGGUAACACUAACUGGAGGACCGAACCGACUAAUGUUGAAAAAUUAGCGGAUGACUUGUGGCUGGGGGUGAAAGGCCAAUCAAACCGGGAGAUAGCUGGUUCUCCCCGAAAGCUAUUUAGGUAGCGCCUCGUGAAUUCAUCUCCGGGGGUAGAGCACUGUUUCGGCAAGGGGGUCAUCCCGACUUACCAACCCGAUGCAAACUGCGAAUACCGGAGAAUGUUAUCACGGGAGACACACGGCGGGUGCUAACGUCCGUCGUGAAGAGGGAAACAACCCAGACCGCCAGCUAAGGUCCCAAAGUCAUGGUUAAGUGGGAAACGAUGUGGGAAGGCCCAGACAGCCAGGAUGUUGGCUUAGAAGCAGCCAUCAUUUAAAGAAAGCGUAAUAGCUCACUGGUCGAGUCGGCCUGCGCGGAAGAUGUAACGGGGCUAAACCAUGCACCGAAGCUGCGGCAGCGACACUAUGUGUUGUUGGGUAGGGGAGCGUUCUGUAAGCCUGUGAAGGUGUACUGUGAGGUAUGCUGGAGGUAUCAGAAGUGCGAAUGCUGACAUAAGUAACGAUAAAGCGGGUGAAAAGCCCGCUCGCCGGAAGACCAAGGGUUCCUGUCCAACGUUAAUCGGGGCAGGGUGAGUCGACCCCUAAGGCGAGGCCGAAAGGCGUAGUCGAUGGGAAACAGGUUAAUAUUCCUGUACUUGGUGUUACUGCGAAGGGGGGACGGAGAAGGCUAUGUUGGCCGGGCGACGGUUGUCCCGGUUUAAGCGUGUAGGCUGGUUUUCCAGGCAAAUCCGGAAAACUAAGGCUGAGGCGUGAUGACGAGGCACUACGGUGCUGAAGCAACAAAUGCCCUGCUUCCAGGAAAAGCCUCUAAGCAUCAGGUAACAUCAAAUCGUACCCCAAACCGACACAGGUGGUCAGGUAGAGAAUACCAAGGCGCUUGAGAGAACUCGGGUGAAGGAACUAGGCAAAAUGGUGCCGUAACUUCGGGAGAAGGCACGCUGAUAUGUAGGUGAAGUCCCUCGCGGAUGGAGCUGAAAUCAGUCGAAGAUACCAGCUGGCUGCAACUGUUUAUUAAAAACACAGCACUGUGCAAACACGAAAGUGGACGUAUACGGUGUGACGCCUGCCCGGUGCCGGAAGGUUAAUUGAUGGGGUUAGCGGUAACGCGAAGCUCUUGAUCGAAGCCCCGGUAAACGGCGGCCGUAACUAUAACGGUCCUAAGGUAGCGAAAUUCCUUGUCGGGUAAGUUCCGACCUGCACGAAUGGCGUAAUGAUGGCCAGGCUGUCUCCACCCGAGACUCAGUGAAAUUGAACUCGCUGUGAAGAUGCAGUGUACCCGCGGCAAGACGGAAAGACCCCGUGAACCUUUACUAUAGCUUGACACUGAACAUUGAGCCUUGAUGUGUAGGAUAGGUGGGAGGCUUUGAAGUGUGGACGCCAGUCUGCAUGGAGCCGGCCUUGAAAUACCACCCUUUAAUGUUUGAUGUUCUAACGUUGGCCCCUGAUCGGGGUUGCGGACAGUGUCUGGUGGGUAGUUUGACUGGGGCGGUCUCCUCCUAAAGAGUAACGGAGGAGCACGAAGGUUGGCUAAUCCUGGUCGGACAUCAGGAGGUUAGUGCAAUGGCAUAAGCCAGCUUGACUGCGAGCGUGACGGCGCGAGCAGGUGCGAAAGCAGGUCAUAGUGAUCCGGUGGUUCUGAAUGGAAGGGCCAUCGCUCAACGGAUAAAAGGUACUCCGGGGAUAACAGGCUGAUACCGCCCAAGAGUUCAUAUCGACGGCGGUGUUUGGCACCUCGAUGUCGGCUCAUCACAUCCUGGGGCUGAAGUAGGUCCCAAGGGU
rnacentral:rRNA from 1 species